GGAGGGAUCAUUCCAACGUUUCCGAACGUAUCAACCCACCGUGAACCUCUUGUGACAUGAUUGAUUGUUUGGGGUCGGAAUCGAGUCCAUUCCUAUUUCCAGUGAUGUGACCUGGAUCACAUGUGUGGAGACGGGAGAGGAUGUCGACAACGCCUUCAAGUGACUUUCGAGUUACAGGAACCCUUAUUUGAACCUGUAUGGAAUGUGGCUGCUGAAGAGAUUGUAGUGGAUGGUCUAGAUGUUUUUCUCAUUCUGGGAAGCUUGUCAAUGGCAACAUUGGGAGGUGGUACUGGAUGGAGAGAUCUUCUAGAUUCAUGAUCUCUUUCAGCUAGAGGAUGAUGUUGAGAGGGUCGCUGGCGCUCUUGACCUCCCAUACCUCAAGGCUCUUUUGUACAGGCCAAUUUACUUUCCUUCACUAGAAGGGGGGUCAAUCGAUAAGAUUUAAUUUAUAAUUAAUUUCUUUCGACUUGCCCCUCUCUUAGUGGAGGAAGGCAGAUAAAUUGGCUCCACUACGCGGUUACCCAACCAAACCAGUUUCACCCUUUUUUACCCCAUUUGACAGAAUUCGAGAGAGAGUGUAACAGUUGUUUGGUAUGGAGGAUCCGUCUGACUCUUUUCGUUCUUCGGACGGUGUUAGAUAGUUCUUCUGUGCUGCCCAAUUGCAAUGUUCUCCCUCACUCAGUGUUGACACUGAAUCAUCAGUACAACUCUUAGCAAUGGAUAUCUAGGUUCUCGCAACGAUGAAGAACGCAGCGAAAUGCGAUAUGUAAUGCGAAUUGCAGAAUUCAGUGAAUCAUCGAAUCUUUGAACGCAAAUGGCGCUUUCGGGAUAGACCUGAAAGCACGCUUCUCUCAGUAUCAGUUUCAACCCCAUAUCGAUUCGUGUUGUUUUUAGAUCUGCUUCGUCUAUGGUUCAUUUAGAUGGAUCGGAAGGGGGAAAUUGAAUUGAAUUUUUAAUUGAAUUGAACUCUUCCUAUUCCUUCUACACCCGCCAAACGACCUGGUAGAUCAGGAACAGGACCUAUCGGAAAAUGAGAGUCUUAUUGUGCAUACGAUGAGUCUCUUGAAAUUCUUAAGUCUAUGCCUGAAUCUUCUAGUCACUGUUUCUUCUUUUUCGCAAGAAAGAGAAGAGACUUAGCUUGACAAAUAGUGAAGCGAGGCUGGUCGACGUGGAUAACUAUAUCCUGGGUCAAACUAGGAUUGGCGAAAACGUCAUAGGACUGUUCUCGAUUCACAUCAUGUUUGUCAAGUGAACGGCUACUGGAAUGCAGGAAAGACGACUUAUGAGAAUCAAACAUUUCAAGGUCUUGAGUAGUGGAUGGGGGUGCCUGUAUGUAUAUGUAUGUAUAUGUAUGGUGUGUCCCCUUCUGUUCCAAACCGUUUGAAUCUCUCGAAUUCGAUCUGAGAUGAAGCGAGACUACCCCCUGAAUUUAAGCAUAUUAAUAAGGGGAGGAAAAGAAACUAACUAGGAUUCCCCCAGUAACGGCGAGUGAAGCGGGAAAAGCUCAAGCUGAAAAUCGGUGAUUCAAGCGAGUCAUCCGAAUUGUAGCCUAGAGACAUGUUCUCAGCGUGCAACCCAGGUCCAAGUCCUUUGGAAUUGGGCAUCAUUGAGGGUGAGAAUCCCGUUCAUGAUCUGGAGAUUGCCGCGUACGAGUCAUGUUCACAGAGUCGAGUUGUUUGGGAUUGCAGCUCGAAAUGGGUGGUAAGUUUCAUCCAAAGCUAAAUAUAGGCGAGAGACCGAUAGCGAACAAGUACCGUGAGGGAAAGAUGAAAAGAACUUUGAAAAGAGAGUGAAAAAGUACUUGAAAUUGCUAAGAGGGAAGCGCUGGGAAGCAGUGUUGUGCUUGCAGCAUUUUGCCCGUCUAGAGGUGUUAUCUCUGUAUGCUGAUGUGGGUAACCCAUCAGUAUUCAGGGAGAGUAUCGAUAGGCGGGUCCUGUGUUGUGAGCCGGUCAGAAUCAGUUCGAGUGGUGGGAGAAAAUCAGGAGAAAGGUAGGAUGGGGGCAACUUCAUCUGUUAUAGACUCUUGACGUUCACCAUGAUUUGGACUGAGGAAGUAGUGAUGCGCCACCUGGCGUAUCUUCCUGCUCCUCUCUUUUUCCGCGGAUUGGAGGUCAAUGACCUGCUGUCUGUAUAAAGGGAGAUUGAGUAGAGAGGAUUUCUGCAUCACCACGAUUCUGACAAAAUGCUUCUCAUCGACCCGUCUUGAAACACGGACCAAGGAGUCUAACAUCUAUGCGAGUAUUUGGGUGUUCAAACCCGCGUGCGUAAUGAAAGUAAAGGUAACCUUGUGUUACUGAGGUAGGAAUUCCUGCUUUGGUUGGAAGGCACUAUCGACCGAUCCGAACUUGUUCGAGAUUUGAGUGCGAGCAUAUCUGUUGGGACCCGAAAGAUGGUGAUCUAUGCCUGAACAGGGUGAAGCCAGGGGAAACUCUGGUGGAGGCUCGUAGCGAUACUGACGUGCAAAUCGUUCGUCUGAUUUGGGUAUAGGGGCGAAAGACUAAUCGAACUAUCUAGUAGCUGGUUCCCUC
rnacentral:misc_RNA from 1 species